AUUGAACGCUGGCGGCAGGCCUAACACAUGCAAGUCGAACGGCAGCACAGAAGAGCUUGCUCUUUGGGUGGCGAGUGGCGGACGGGUGAGUAAUGUCUGGGAAACUGCCCGAUGGAGGGGGAUAACUACUGGAAACGGUAGCUAAUACCGCAUAACGUCGCGAGACCAAAGUGGGGGACCUUCGGGCCUCACACCAUCGGAUGUGCCCAGAUGGGAUUAGCUAGUAGGUGGGGUAAUGGCUCACCUAGGCGACGAUCCCUAGCUGGUCUGAGAGGAGGACCGGCCACCCGGGAACUGAGACAAGGUCCAGACUCCUACAGGAGGCAGCAGUGGGGAAUAUUGCACAAUGGGCGCAGGCCUGAUGAAGCCAUGCCGCGUGUAUGAAGAAGGCCUUCGGGUUGUAAAGUACUUUCAGCGGGGAGGAAGGCGGUGAGGUUAAUAACCUUGCCGAUUGACGUUACCCGCAGAAGAAGCACCGGCUAACUCCGUGCCAGCAGCCGCCGCGG
rnacentral:rRNA from 1 species